GAGAAAAUUCCCAGAUCUCGCCU
rnacentral:siRNA from 1 species